GGGGAUAACUUGGGGAAACCCAAGCUAAUACCGCAUACGACCUACGGGUGAAAGGGGGCUUUUAGCUCUCGCUAUUAGAUGAGCCUAAGUCGGAAUAGCUGGUUGGUGGGGUAAAGGCCUACCAAGGCGACGAUCUGUAGCUGGUCUGAGAGGAUGAUCAGCCACACUGGGACUGAGACACGGCCCAG
rnacentral:rRNA from 1 species